UCCGUGUUCGUGCCAUUCUCCUUACCAAUA
rnacentral:piRNA from 1 species